rnacentral:rRNA from 1 species
UGGUGCCAGCAGCCGCGGUAAUUCCAGCUCCAAUAGCGUAUAUUAAAGUUGUUGCAGUUAAAAAGCUCGUAGUUGAAUUUCGGGAUUAGUACGUUGGUCGUGCCUUAGGUACGUACUGGUGUUACUGGUUCCUACCUUCUGACGAACCAUCAUUUCAUUAAUUUGGUGUGGCGGGGAAUCAGGACUGUUACUUUGAAAAAAUUAGAGUGUUUAAAGCAGGCUCGCGCUUGAAUACAUUAGCAUGGAAUAAUGAAAUAGGACGUUGACCCUAUUUUGUUGGUUUCUAGGAUUGACGUAAUGAUUAAUAGGGAUAGUUGGGGGCAUUAGUAUUCAAUUGUCAGAGGUGAAAUUCUUGGAUUUAUUGAAGACUAACUACUACGAAAGCAUUUGCCAAGGAUGUUUUCAUUAAUCAAGAACGAAAGUUAGGGGAUCGAAGACGAUCAGAUACCGUCGUAGUCUUAACCAUAAACUAUGCCGACUAGGGA